UUUUAUGGAGAGUUUGAUCCUGGCUCAGGAUGAACGCUGGCGGCGUGCCUAAUACAUGCAAGUCGAGCGAACGGACGAGAAGCUUGCUUCUCUGAUGUUAGCGGCGGACGGGUGAGUAACACGUGGAUAACCUACCUAUAAGACUGGGAUAACUUCGGGAAACCGGAGCUAAUACCGGAUAAUAUUUUGAACCGCAUGGUUCAAAAGUGAAAGACGGUCUUGCUGUCACUUAUAGAUGGAUCCGCGCUGCAUUAGCUAGUUGGUAAGGUAACGGCUUACCAAGGCAACGAUGCAUAGCCGACCUGAGAGGGUGAUCGGCCACACUGGAACUGAGACACGGUCCAGACUCCUACGGGAGGCAGCAGUAGGGAAUCUUCCGCAAUGGGCGAAAGCCUGACGGAGCAACGCCGCGUGAGUGAUGAAGGUCUUCGGAUCGUAAAACUCUGUUAUUAGGGAAGAACAUAUGUGUAAGUAACUGUGCACAUCUUGACGGUACCUAAUCAGAAAGCCACGGCUAACUACGUGCCAGCAGCCGCGGUAAUACGUAGGUGGCAAGCGUUAUCCGGAAUUAUUGGGCGUAAAGCGCGCGUAGGCGGUUUUUUAAGUCUGAUGUGAAAGCCCACGGCUCAACCGUGGAGGGUCAUUGGAAACUGGAAAACUUGAGUGCAGAAGAGGAAAGUGGAAUUCCAUGUGUAGCGGUGAAAUGCGCAGAGAUAUGGAGGAACACCAGUGGCGAAGGCGACUUUCUGGUCUGUAACUGACGCUGAUGUGCGAAAGCGUGGGGAUCAAACAGGAUUAGAUACCCUGGUAGUCCACGCCGUAAACGAUGAGUGCUAAGUGUUAGGGGGUUUCCGCCCCUUAGUGCUGCAGCUAACGCAUUAAGCACUCCGCCUGGGGAGUACGACCGCAAGGUUGAAACUCAAAGGAAUUGACGGGGACCCGCACAAGCGGUGGAGCAUGUGGUUUAAUUCGAAGCAACGCGAAGAACCUUACCAAAUCUUGACAUCCUUUGACAACUCUAGAGAUAGAGCUUUCCCCUUCGGGGGACAAAGUGACAGGUGGUGCAUGGUUGUCGUCAGCUCGUGUCGUGAGAUGUUGGGUUAAGUCCCGCAACGAGCGCAACCCUUAAGCUUAGUUGCCAUCAUUAAGUUGGGCACUCUAAGUUGACUGCCGGUGACAAACCGGAGGAAGGUGGGGAUGACGUCAAAUCAUCAUGCCCCUUAUGAUUUGGGCUACACACGUGCUACAAUGGAUAAUACAAAGGGCAGCGAAACCGCGAGGUCAAGCAAAUCCCAUAAAGUUGUUCUCAGUUCGGAUUGUAGUCUGCAACUCGACUACAUGAAGCUGGAAUCGCUAGUAAUCGUAGAUCAGCAUGCUACGGUGAAUACGUUCCCGGGUCUUGUACACACCGCCCGUCACACCACGAGAGUUUGUAACACCCGAAGCCGGUGGAGUAACCUUUUAGGAGCUAGCCGUCGAAGGUGGGACAAAUGAUUGGGGUGAAGUCGUAACAAGGUAGCCGUAUCGGAAGGUGCGGCUGGAUCACCUCCUUUCU
rnacentral:rRNA from 1 species